rnacentral:lncRNA from 1 species
CUACUAUCAAACUGCUUUAUAUUUAGUGUAGUGUUUCAAACUAUUUUAGUAUUUACGAAGAAAACUAGGCUAUAAACAGAGGCGUUUUAUCACUGUGUGGUGCCAGCAAGUACCUGAUGAACAGUCGACCACACCCACUCUACUGUUCUGUUUUUUAACCGCUUAACUUUCUUUGUAAGUAUAUCGUGGUUGAUUUUAUUAUUUAACUCCAGCUCAUUUCUGAUCCCGUUGACCUGUAAGCAGAUAUUCGUGCUUGUCUUUCGCUACCCCAUCCUUCUGUUGGAUAAUAUUUCCUCUGUCUCUUUACGUUCUGAGUUUAAAUAUCGCCUUCAUAUCAACUUUCCUUUUCAUCCUUUCGAGUUAGAAAGAGUCGUAAUAUAUUGGAGUCGGCAUAACUAGAUAUGUGUACCCCUUCCCACGACUUUGUUGCCUUAUAACUUCCAGAAAAAUGAAUCCUUUUUCAUGAAAAUUUCAACAAAUACCACUUAGGUGCCGUGGAUUCAGAGUAUAUAAGGAUUUAUGGGAAAGAAUUUCUCCGAAGGGGUGAGGAGAGGAGUUUCGGGAAAUUCACACAAUCCGAUUUUUUCCCCUCAUAACUUCCAGAAAGUUCCUGAAAUGGGAGGAGGAGAAGAAAGCUAAUGGGUUGUGUGUGCGUGCUUGUUUUUGUCUGUGUCUCUGUGUGUGCCUGUUCUAUUUUUAGGCAUUUAUGUGUUGUGGGAUAUAGAUAUAACGAAAUUAUUUAUACCCGCAAAGUCUCAUUUUAAACUUGAAGAGCUGUUCCCCCAUAACUUUUAGCAAAACGGCGUAUUUUCAAUGAAAUUUUAUAGAAAUACCGGAUCUUUUCGGUUUGAUCGACAGUUUUUAAAAAUAAUUUCCAUGUAACUUAACACUUUUAAACUUCGUAUACAGGUAGAAUGUGUUUAUAAAACAUCUUUUUCUCUUUUGUAAGAUAUUUGUUGUUUUUUUCUUCAAUUUCUGCAAUUUCAACCAAUCAAUGACGUCUGUUGAGAUGAAAACAUUCUGUGCCGUAUGAAUAUGUCCCUCGUUUAAGAAACAGAUUUGGUUUAUUUACAUUUCUGAAGAAAAAAAAGAAACCCUUCCCCCACCCCUAACCCUAACCCUAAAACAGAUUGAAAUGCAAUAGAUCGAUAGGGUCAUAAUUAUGGGUGACAAUUUCAUAUGACACCGCUAGAAAAAACUGCCGAUCAAACCGAAAAGAUCCGAAAUACCUUUCAAACGGCAUACAUUACAAUUAUAAAGAAAUUUGUGGGGAAAAUCUUUUCCAAGUGAAGUGGAAAGAGGACUUCGGAAAAUUCAGAAAAUCCGAGUUUUUCCCUCAUAACUUUUAGGAAAAUGGGUUUUUUUCAAUGAAAUUUUAUAUAAAUACCUUUGAAACGAUAUACAUUAUGACUAUAAAGUAAUUUGUGGGGAAAAUCUUGAGGUGGGGAGAGGACUUUCGGAAAAUUCCCAAGGUCCUUAUUUCCUUGUUAUAUUCCGAAAUCACAUUCAACUUUCUACAGAUACCCUAGGAUAGUACUACUACACUCCGUAGUGUUUAUUUCUACCCACUUUCAAUAAUUUUUAAUGUUUUGGCUUCAGUUUUAUUUCAUUUUCAAUUAUUUUUUAAUCCUUCGUCGUUAUUCUCAUUCACUCGUUAUUACUUUCUCUCUCCCUAUAUAUAUAUAUAUAUAGAGAGAGAGAGAGAGAGAGAGAGAGAUACAUAUAUGCAUACACGUAUACAUAUAUAUACAUACACAUAUACACACAGACCACACACACACACACACACACACACACACACACAUAUAUAUAUAUAUAUAUAUAUAUAUAUAUAUAUAUAUAUAUAUACAAAAUAAGAAAAUGGAGAAAUACACCUUAAUCAAUAAUAAACUACCAGAUAAUACUCAAUCUCAUAAUUUAUUAAACCACUACAUAUGAACAUCAAGGUCAAACAUAAUAGUAUAGAACAAAACAAUGUGCAUCAAUGAUUAAUAUGAUACAUUAAGUACAGUAUGUAUAAGUGAAUAUAAAUAAAUACAAAUAUAAAUAUAAACUACAUCUUACAGCUGUUUCAGCCAUGUAGAUAUGGGUAUCUCAUUAUGCUCAUAUUAGCCAUGUGUGAUAAGUUAAUAAAUGAGACACUUACAAAAAUAUCCCAAGGCCUCUUCAGAGAUUAUAAAGUACAAACUAAACUAAAUAUGAAUAUCAGAGGAGGUACACCCAUACAAGAGUGGGUACAUACCCAUAAUAUAUAAUAUACACAUACAUAUGAAUACCCAUACUCCUAUAUAUAUAUAUACAUAUACAUAAUAAUAUACAGCAAUAUACAUACAUUAAUAUUACCAUCAUUACUAUUACCAUUGCCACUAUUGCUACUAAUAAUAUUAUUAUCAUUAUUAUUAUUAUUCCUAGGGUCCAUUUCUUCAAGUAAAGAAAUGUGUGUCUGUCUGUCUGUGUGUUACCCUAAAACUUGAGAACUAAACAACCAAUUUCAUUCAAAUUUUACACAUGCCUUACUUAGGGUCUGGGGAGUGUCAUCGGCAAAACAAAUUUUUAACUUUUUGCCUAGGGCGAGCCCACAGCAAUAUCAUAUCUUCUCCACUACGAUUCCCUAAAACUAGAGAACUACACAACCAAUUUCAUUCAAAUUUUACACAUGCCUUACUUAGGGUCCAUGUAGUUUCAUGGGCAAAAAAAAUGUUCAACUUCUUGCCUAGAGCGAGCCCAUAGCAAUAUCAUAUCUUCUCCACUAUUUCAGUAUUACAUGUUAAAAGUGAAACAAAAAUAUUUCUCUGUUUUAUGUCAGCUGCUUUCACUUUAACAAUAAAAAUAAUAAUAACAAUUGAAUUAUAUGUAGUAAGUAAUAAUUAAAAUCAAACUAAAAUAUAAUAUAAUCGUAACAUACAAAAGUAAAAAUAGCAAUUAGUAUAAAAUUGCAUCAAUGAUUUGCACUUGAAUAAUUGGUUUCACAUGAAUGGGAAUAAAUUAAAAAUAUAAUUAGCGUGCAGAAAUGGAAUAGUCCAAAUGGAUAAUAAAAAAUUAAAUUAAAGAAAAGACUAUUGUCUAUAAAGUAUACAAUGUAGAGAAAAAAGAAGAGCUAACAAUUCCAGUCUGUUAUAUAUUUUGAGUAUUGUUAUCACUAGCGAUAUCAAGAUAUAACUUUGUAUUUUGCAUUUUAUGUGUAGAUGUAUAUAUAUAUAGAUGUACAUGUAAUAUGUACACAUAUAUACAUGCACUAGCACUAUGACCCGGCAACGACGGGUCUUUAAUGCUAGUAAUAUAUAUAUAUAUAUAUAUAUAUAUAGUUAUGAGGGAAAAACUUGGAUUUUGUGAAUUUUCCGAAGUCCUCACCCCACCCUCCCGUUGCUUUGCACGCAUUUUAUUUUUCAUAUUCAUUUCUUACACAUUGUUUUACACUCAUUCCAGUACUUUUUUGGGGGGAGGGGAUUUUCAUUUCCGGGUCAAGAUUUAAACAUUAACCAAUAUUUUUUCUUACUCAUAUACACAGCUUCACUUGAUUGAGAUGGUAGUAAAAAUUUAAAUUCCAAUUUUUUUUUUACCACGCAUAUGUUACUUCAGCAUCUUGGAAUGUGCUAGAAACAACAGCCAAAGCUUCCUUGAAUCGUACAACUUUUCCUCUGAAAAUAUUUACAUUUUUUUAUUUUUCCGAAAAAGUUCCUCCCAUGGUUUUUAAGUGCAAGAAAAUUGACCAAAAUCGGUCCGGAGUGAGGUGGGGAUUGUAAAAAAAUUUUAUAAACUUUUUUUUAUAAAAAGAUUACCUUCAUCAUUUCGAAUGCUGUGAUGAAAUUAAAAAUGGGGAAAAUCUCCGUAGUUCCAACUUAUUUGGUCUUCUUAAUCCUCUGCCCACCCCCUCGAGAAAUUUUUUUCCCAUAGAUCCUUAUAUACUCUGAAUCCACAGCAUCUAAGUGGUAUUUGUUGAAAAUUUCUGGAAGUUAUGAGGCAACAAAGUCUUAGACCGAGGGGGUACACAUAUGUAGUUAUGCCUUAGAGUUAAUAUUAUCAACUAAGCCCCUCCCUUCAAAUUUAUUGAUCAAUAAUUUUGAAGAGAGGGGCUUACUUGAUAACAUUAACUCUAAGGCAUAACUACAGAUGUGUACACCCCAAUGAGGGUCCCAGCUGAGUAGACUGGAGCAACGUGAAAUAAAGUGUCUAAUUAAAGGACACGCAUCACUAGGAAUUGAACUCACGACCGAAUGCCCUAACCACCAAGCCACGUGCCUUCACCAAUGCCCUAACAACCAAGCUACGUGUGUAUAUAUAUAUAUAUAUAUAUAUAUAUAUAUAUAUAUAUAUAUAUAUAUAUAUAUAUAUAUAUAUCAUAUCAUCAAUAUCUAUAAAUCUGAAAUGCGAAAAGUUUGUUUGUCUGGUUUUUGGCAUUGGAACGGGUUAAAGGGUACUAGAUCCCGUCGGAUUGACUCCAAAAUUUACAGGGACAUGUAAAAUAAGGUGAGGAUGUGAGUGGGCUAGGUUAGAAAUCCCUAUCUUAAAAAGUGUGGUUACUAGGGCAAAAAACGCACACUUUGACAAGUCUUCUCUCAUUCUCUUAUCUGCCUGUCUUCCUCCGUCUCUCUCUCUCUUCCCUCCCUUCCUUUCACUUUCUCUCUAGAACGUCGUUUGACAGCGUCGACUACCUUUCCCUCACCGCCUUCACUCUUUCGCCCACAUCCCCCUCUCUCUCUCUACGUCUGUCUUCAUUUAUAGAGAGAAUUAUUAUCGCCACCACCACCACACAAUCAUAAGAACAAAUAUUAUGAAUCGGAUAUUUAUUGGGUUAAUUUAUAUAUAUAUAUAUGUGUGUGUGUGUGUGUGUUCUAUACAUAUAAAUAUGUUUAUAUAAUGUAUAUAUACAAAGUGUAUAUACCUGUAUAUAUAUAUAUAUAUAUAUACAAAGUGUAUAUAUCUGUAUUUUAUAUAUAUAUAUAUGUAUAUAUAGUAUACAUUUGUAUAUAUAAUGCGUAUAUAUAUAUAUAUAUAUAUAUAUAUAUUUCUUUACUACCCACAAGGGGCUAAACACAGAGGGGACAAACAAGGACAGACAAAGGUAUUAAGUCGACUACAUCGACCCCAGUGCGUAACUGGUACUUAAUUUAUCGACCCCGAAAGGAUGAAAGGCAAAGUCGACCUCGGCGGAAUUUGAACUUUGAACGUAACAACAGACGAAAUACGGCUACGAAUUUCGCUCGGCGUGCUAACGUUUCUACCAGCUCGCCUAUAUAUAUAUAUAUAUAUAUAUAUAUAUAUAUAUAUAUAUAUAUAUAUAUAUAUAAUGUGUGCAUUAUGUGGUCGGUUGAGCUGAAAAUAUGCACACCUAUGUUAAAAGUGCUGGCGACUUUGCAUGGCAAGUAUUUUUUUCCUGAAAUUAAAGGCGUGACCUCUAGGACAAAAUUCCUCAUCUUAUAAAAUGUGGCCCGAGUAGACCCGAAUGAAAUCGGGUUAUAUUAACCAAAAUGUGAAAAGGGGUCUAAAUGGGGCUGGAAGGGGAUUAAAAUUUACAGGAGCGGGUGUUUAGGAAUUCUCUGUUACAUCAAGCUAAAAAAUUUGCGCCAGCCUUUUAAUCGUCAAUGUGUUGCCGUCCGUCAUGAAGAAGUUUUGAAUGCCUGCCAUGGUGAGUCUACUGUCGCGAGAGAGAAUCACUUCAAAACUUGGUGUUUAGGAAUUUUCUUUUACAUCAAGUUCAAAAUUUUACGCCAGCCAUUAAACUGCCACUACGUUGCUGUCCGUCGUUAAGAAAUGCCAGCCAUAGUGACUCUACUAUCCUCAGAUUCUAUCCCUUCAAACUUUGGUUUCCAAUUUUUUUUUUUUAUUCAGCUCGCAAGGUCGUCUGUCCCUUUUAAAUGUUAGUGUUUUGCUGUCUGCCUUGAAGCAGACUUUUCCGUUGUCACUGCCUGAUAUUUAUGACUGAUCUUUCAAAAUAUUUUCUUUCUCAACUUACUCAAGAUCUUUUGUUGUUUAUAAAUGGGAGAGAGAUACAUAGAGAAAGAUAGAGAGUAAGAGAAAGCAAGGAAGAGUCUGAGAGAAAGAAAGUGUAUGAGAGUGGGAAAGUGAGAGAGAAAGGAGAGAGAAACAAAGAGGGAGAAUGUGGUGAUAAACGAUAGAAAGGAAGCAACAGAAAGUAACAACCACUAUACAAGUAUACCUCAGCUUGAGUCAUUUCGAUUUAAGUCAUUCUCAAUUAUAUGGAAAAAUAAAAAUCAAGUUGUCAUUUUACUGUCUGCCACAAAUAUUGGAAUCGUAAAAUCACUAGAAAACCAUUAAAAGCACAUAAAAUCAUGUUACGGUACAAUAAAUAAGAAUAAAAGCAUAUAAAGUCAUAUCAAAAUACAUACAGUAAAUGUUUAGAUACACCGUAAAGUAGUGUAGCUUAGUGAACGAAAUCAUGAAAUUAGAUGUGUUUGUCUUAUUUAUCAUUCUUUCAGAGCUCAUAUUGCAUUGUAGUUCCAAUAUCUACUGUUAGGCGUCAUUGUCACUCAUGAUUCCUGCUACUGUUUUGAACUCAGAUUUGUUUGCAUCUGCUUAUCAGCUACUUUCUCAUUCAUUUGUGACUUUAUUUUUUGCCACUAUGACUCCUAAGAAAAUUCAUAGUGAAAAUGCAAAGUGUCGCUGGAAGAUAAACUGGCUGUGAUAAAAUGCCGCGAGAAAGGUGAAAAAGUGGUAGGUUUUUGGGGUGAGCCAGAAGACUGUAUCGACAAUUAUACACAAUAAGGACAAGAUUUUAGCACAUAUCAAAUCUGAUGCCCCAGGAAUGAAGAACACUGUCAUCAACAAGAAAAGAGGCAAAAUCUUUGAAGAAAUGAAAAGUCUUCUUUUCUCUUUGGAUUGUUAGGUUGAAUUGUCAGCAUACUACUAUUAGUCAAGAAAUCAUUCAAGAGAAAGCAUUGUCUUUGUUUGUGGACUGAAGAAAAAAUAUCAGAUGAGAAAGAUGUAGAGUUCAAGGCAAGUCAAGGAUAGUUCAUGAGAUUUAAGGAGCAAAGAAGUUAUCACUCCAUUAAGAAGCAAGAUGAAAGUGCAUCAGCUGAUGAACAAGCAGCAGUGGAAUUUCUAAUGCAUUAAAGAAAGUCAUUGAAGAAAACCGGUUUCUUCCCAAACAGAUUUUUAAUGUAGACAAAACUGGAUUGUAUUGGAAAAAAUUGCCAGACUGUUCAUUCAUUUCCAAGGAGGAGAAAACUAUUCCAGGCUACAAGGUCUCAAAAGAAUAUGUGACCAUUAUGUUGGGAGGUAAUUGUGCAGGAGAUUUUAAGUUAAAGCCAUUGCUUGUGUAUCAUGCACACAGCCUUUGUGCCCUGAAAAAACAUACCCAAGGUAUAACUCCCUGUUAUAUGGAUGGCUAAUUCAAAAGCAUUGUUUACUGUUCUUGUUUUUGAAGAUUGGUUCUUCAAUUAUUUUAUCCCAGUAGCAGAGAAGUACUGUAAGGAGAAGAGGAUUCCUUGGUUUUACUUAUCUUAGAUAAUACUCCUGGACACCUGUAAAACAUUGUAGAUUUUGACCCUAAUGCUACUGUUGUAUACCUCAUUCAAACACCACAUCUCUUCUGCAGCCAAUGGAUCAAGGAAUAAUUGCUAUCUUCAAGCAUUUGCUAUAUGAAGCAUACUCUGUGGCAAGCAAUAGCUGUAACUGAUCUUGAUGAGUCCAUCACACUUCAUGACUUUUAGAAGAGAUACGAUAUCUACAAGGCUGUACAGAAAUAGCAGUGGCAAGGAAUGACGUACAGAGUAUGGCCAGGAAUAGUAUAUGGAAGAAGCUAUGCCCACAAUUCAUGAAUGAUUUUAAGGAGUUUGGUAAUGUUGCCAUCAACAAAACAUUGGUGAUUAUGAGCAAAGAACUGGAAAUGGAUUUGGAGGAGGAAGAUUUCACAGAUUUAUUUGGAAAAGACAAGCAAACCCUGAUGAACGAGGAUUUGAUAGAGCUUCACAAGCAACAAAAUUAAAAAGUGGAAGUCAAACCUGAGCCACAUCACUUAACCAUUAAGAAAAUACAGCAAGCAUUUGCAUAUAUUGAAAAAGGUCUUUCUAUGUUCAAGGGUAUGGAUCCAAAUGCUCAACGCUUUUCUGAAAAUUAUGGGGGCUUGUCACAAAGCUUUUGCUCCUUUUAAUGUAAUCCUUGAGGAAAAGAAGAAGAUAGUUCAAGGAACUCUCAACCGUUUUUUUAAGUGCACUGAACAAGAACAGCCAAGAGUCAGCUGUUGAUGUUGACGAUCCACAGCCAUCUACUUCCGCAAUGUAAACCACCAAAUUAUAUGUACAUAUUGGUAAGUUUAAGAUAAUUUAGUUUGUUUUACUAUUGCAAAAUAAUAUAUUGCUGAAUUUGUUUUUUUUAAGCUUAAAAAAGCUUUUAUUUUAUAACGUCUUAUUGCAAACUGCAUUCAUAAAUCAGGCAUCUGCAAUGUACAGUAAACACUGCCAAAUUAUAUUUGUAAGUUUAUAUUACCUUUUUUUUUUUUUACUGUACUGUAUUUUAAUAAAUAAAAUUUACUUUUUUGUUACCUUAAAAUAGGUUUUUAUUAACCAUGUAAUACUGAAAAUACUUUCAUAAAUGAAGUACAGAACUGGGAAUGGUUAUUAUCAGUUUAACCUAGAGACAAGUAAAUUCGGCCUAGCCUAAAGACAAGUUAAUUCGACUGAAGUCAUAUUUCUUGGAACUAAUUAACGACGUAGGGUGAGGUAUGCUUGUAUGUGUGUGUGUAUAUAUAUAUAUAUGAUUUUCACAUAUUUUCAUCUACCAAUCCACUCUCAGGGAACUGGUUAGCCUAGAGCUAUAGUAGAAGACACUUGUCCAAGGUGCCACACAGUGGGACUAAUCCAGAAAUCACAUUUUUGCAAAAAGUGCUUCUUAACCACACAGCCAUACCUGUGCUUAUUGUAAUAGCAGUUUUAAAAUUGCAUAAAGUGAGAGGUAUCAUGAUUAAAUGGAAAAAGAUAAAAACCAAUGACUCACAGAACGCAAUGGUAGUUGCUUCAGAAAAAAUGCUUUCAAGCAAAAGAAAAUAGUUUAAUACUUACUUUCUUACACACACUCAUUAAAAGAUUUGUUAUAAAAAGUUUCAUUGAUAUAAAAAGCACUGUCAAUUUUAUGAAUAAUUUGUAGUAUUUUACUGUUAAAUAAAAAGUGCUAAGUCUUUAGGUAAGGAAUUUAUCAAUAGUUUCUAUCAUUGUUUUGAAUGGCUGCACCAUUUUCUGUCAUUAAUAAAAUUGUCAGCAUUUUUAAUGAUACAGAUAUGCUGGCAUGAAUGCAUGCAUGCAUGUCUUUAACCAUUAUUGCUUGGAUGAGGGCAAAGUGUCAUGGAAUGAACUCUAUGAAUACAAAGAGAAACACUUACCACUAGCUGAGAAAAUAACUCUAACUUAUUCCAAACCAUUCUCUUUCUGACUGCUAUGUUUUCAGAACCACCACUCCCACCGCACAUUUCAAAGAAUCUAUUGUACCUGUGCAUCUACUACCUAUGCUGUUCAUCUAUUUGUGUUCUCACUAUACCACUUGUGCAGUUCCAGUUUACAUUUAAUACAACACAAAAUUUCUUCUCUUUUCUUCUUAUCAAAUCUUGACAAUUUUCCUGAUAGUUUUAGGCUCAGGCCUUUAUGAUUUAAUAAAAUUUUAACCAUUGCUGAGUUUUCUUUAAGGCCUUUCAAUUCUAGACUUUACUUUCUUGUCUGGAAUUUUAUUCUCCAAAUCUUUGACCAACUCUGUAAUUCUGUUAUUUUCUCUCAUCCUUAAUCAUACCACUCAUGCUGUUUGCUCCUUAAGCUCCUUACCAAGAGACAUCAUGUAGCUGUCUAUCAUUGUUUCUCUUCCUUUACUUUGUCCUUUAUCAUCUUCCUGCUCUUUCUCUCUUGCUUUCCUAUUUCUCUCACUCUCCCACUACUACCAUUUCUCCUUUAUUGUCUCCUCUAUCACCCUCCCACCCCAAACACUUUCCUACCUGUAUCACUUUCCUACUUCUGUUGCUCUCUUCCUGUGCUUCUUCCUCUAUCACACUCCCACUGCUGAUAUUUUCUCUCCCCUCCUUUAUUUCUUCCUCCAUCACCUUCUUGCUCUGAUUGUCUUACAUAACUUUUCUGUCUGCUUGGGACAAAACAGUUGAUCUUUCUGUUGCUGCCAAAAGAUAAGAUAAGUUUCCAGUGUUGGUGAAUGAAUGAAGAAAAUGUAGAGUGGAAAGAAUACUUUAGCCUCGUCAAGAAUGAAACAACUUCUCUAGUGCCGGUGUCAUGACAAAAUGUGCUAAAUACUGUUUGUAAAGUGGUUGGCUUCACCACUACACAUAUCUUUUUGUUUACCCAAAAAAUGUGUAUUUCCAACAUGUAAUGAUGAUAACUUUCAGAAAUAAUGAUGAUGAUCUAAUGAAUAAUAACUUAAAUUUUAUUUUAUUUCCUCUGAAUUGAAAUUUUUGUUUUAUUUACAGAAAUAUCCAUCAACAAGAUAUCUACCCAAAAAGUACAAUGAACCUAAUAUGGUUUAGCCUAAUUGUAUUCAGCAUUUCAGCUGGAGUGAAAUAUACCAAAGCCGAUAAUGUCCUGCUACUUUCAUGGCCAUACUUUAGUCACUUACAGAGCUUGGCUUAUGUUGGGAGUGAGCUAAGCAAAUAUGGUCACACCAGUUAUUUUCCGAUGCCAGAUAAAAUGGCAAAAAUGUUUCAGUCAUUCAAAGGUGUUGAACUUUUGAAGAUGAAAGAUGAUCACAAUGUUAACAAAUUUUUUGAAACAACCCUCAACUAUUUUUUGAGUGGGAACUCUACAAUGAAGGAUAUAUUUGAAAUUAUGGAUGAAGUCUGUGAUAAUCUUCUUUUAGAUGAAGAUUGGUUCCAAUAUUUGAAGAAGGUAAAUGCUUCCAUAGCUGUGAUAGACUUUGUCUUUAUGAGUAAUUGUUUGGCAAUAAUUCCUUAUAGAUUAUCCAUACCAUUUGUGUUUCUAGGUAUCAAUCCUGGAC